UGGUUUCAAUCCUUUUUAAUUCUUUUGUGAUACACUUACUAACAUAAGCAGUGCUUACAGCUAGACAAUCCGAAACAUUAUUGAUAGAUUAUUACAAACAACCAGGAUAGGUCAGCCAGCAUAACACCAACUCCGUCAUAGGUCAGGCAGCGUAACACCAACUCCUUCAUAGGUAAGGCAUGGCAUCGUAACACCAACUCCAUCAUAGGUCAGGCAGCGUAACACCAACUCCAUCAUAGGUCAGUCAGCGUAAUAUAUCAACUCUGUCAUAGGUCAGGCAGCGUAAUAUAUCAACUCUAUCAUAGGUCAGGCAGCGUAAUAUAUCAACUCCGUCAUAGAUCAGGCAGCGUAACACCAACUCCGUCAAAGGUCAGGCAUCAUAACACCAACUCCGUCAUAGGUCAGGCAGCGUAACACCAACUCCGUCAAAGGUCAGGCAUCAUAACACCAACUCCGUCAUCGGUCAGGCAGCGGAACACCAACUCCAUCAUAGGUCAGGCAUCAUUACACCAACUCCAUCAUAGGUCAGGCAGCGUAACACCAACUCCUUCAUAGGUCAGGCCAUAGGUCAGGCAGCGUAACACCAACUCCAUCAUAGGUCAGGCAGCGUAAUAUAUCAACUCUGUCAUAGGUCAGGCAGCGUAACAUCAACUCCAUCAUAGGUCAGGCAGCGUAAUAUAUCAACUCAAUCAUAGGUCAGGCAGCGUAAUAUAUCAACUCCGUCAUAGGUCAAUCAGCGUAACACCAACUCCAUCAUAGGUCAGGUAGCGUAAUAUAUCAACUCCGUCAUAGGUCAGGCAGCGUAAUAUAUCAACUCCGUCAUAGGUCAGGUAGCGUAAUAUAUCAACUCAAUCAUAGGUCAGUCAGCGUAAUAUAUCAACUCAAUCAUAGGUCAGGUAGCGUAAUUUAUCAACUCCGUCAUAGGUCAGUCAGCGUAAUAUAUCAACUCAAUCAUAGGUCAGGCAGCGUAAUAUAUCAACUCCAUCAUAGGUCAGGCAGCGUAAUAUCAACUCCAUCAUAGGUCAGGCAGCGUAAUAUAUCAACUCAAUCAUAGGUCAGGCAGCGUAAUAUCAACUCAAUCAUAGGUCAGGUAGCGUAAUAUAUCAACUCCGUCAUAGGUCAGGCAGCGUAACAUCAACAUCAUCAUGCAUUUGGCAGCAUAACAUCAACUCCUUCAUAUUAACAUGCAGAACAAAUCAAAGGAUAGGGUGUGUUGAUGAUCCCUUUUCUGGAGAUUUAACAAAUGACCUUGAAAGGUCUUGCAUCUCCUCCUCUAACAAAGGAAGUUAGGAAUUUUGUACUUCAAGUCAUAAAGCUAAGAUAGCAGUAAAUGGUGUGUUACACUGUCAAUAUACUGUUGAAAGUGCCUAAUUUCACAGUGUUUGAUUUCCACUGAGCUGUAAUUGGGCCUAAUUCAAUUGAAAUAGUGAUUAAAUUUCACACUGUGGUACGGUAGGCUACUGCACAAGGACCAGCUAGACCAUGGACCUGGAAAAGAAAAACCAAACUUACUUUUUCUUGUGUUAAAUCUCUGAAAAAAACUAUUGACACGAUUAAUAUCUGAUAGUAUUAUUUGGUUAGAAAUUAAUGUUAGCCAUGGUCUUUCAAUAAAAGUGAAACUUUACUUUGAAGGCUAAAAUAUUUGGAAGUGAAACUUAAUUGAUUGAUUUUAAGAAAUUGCCUUAUUGUUCUUCCCCCUAAGUCUGUUGUUCACUCUCAGGUUUUUUAAACAAAUUUAAAAAAAAAAAAAAA